UACGUAGGGUGCGAGCGUUGUCCGGAAUUAUUGGGCGUAAAGGGCUCGUAGGCGGUCUGUCGCGUCGGGAGUGAAAACUCAGGGCUUAACCCUGAGCCUGCUUCCGAUACGGGCAGACUAGAGGUAUGCAGGGGAGAACGGAAUUCCUGGUGUAGCGGUGGAAUGCGCAGAUAUCAGGAGGAACACCGGGGGCGAAGGCGGUUCUCUGGGCAUUACCUGACGCUGAGGAGCGAAAGUGUGGGGAGCGAACAGG
rnacentral:rRNA from 1 species